UUAGGACUGACCUAUGGGAGGAACAACUUGGACUCCUGUGUUCACCUGUGCCCUCUUCACUCUUUACAAAUUUACUUGGAUGACGACUUCCACUUCAUAUAGCUCCUAGAUGAGGCCAGUGCUGCUGUUCCUCUGAUCACACUCCGAAUGGCAAAGCCCCAGAUAACUUGGACCCAGGUGCUGGCCAAUAAUGAGUAAUUUAGCAACAUAUGCCUCAAAAACCAUGCACUACAUAAGAGACAAUAAGUUACUUCGUGACAAGUACUAUGAUGAGAGUUCUAAGGCAAUAAAAUGUCAGAAAAUUUCCCUAAGAUGACUCCAGGAAUAAGGAAUGGAGCCUGUAAAAACACUCUUUGGGAGGCCGAG
rnacentral:lncRNA from 10 species